rnacentral:rRNA from 1 species
GAUGAACGCUGGCGGCGUGCCUAAUACAUGCAAGUCGAGCGAACAGACGAGGAGCUUGCUCCUCUGACGUUAGCGGCGGACGGGUGAGUAACACGUGGAUAACCUACCUAUAAGACUGGGAUAACUUCGGGAAACCGGAGCUAAUACCGGAUAAUAUAUUGAACCGCAUGGUUCAAUAGUGAAAGACGGUUUUGCUGUCACUUAUAGAUGGAUCCGCGCCGCAUUAGCUAGUUGGUAAGGUAACGGCUUACCAAGGCGACGAUGCGUAGCCGACCUGAGAGGGUGAUCGGCCACACUGGAACUUAGACACGGACCAGACUCCUAAGGGAGGCAGCAGUAGGGAAUCUUCCGCAAUGGGCGAAAGCCUGACGGAGCAACGCCGCGUGAGUGAUGAAGGUCUUCGGAUCGUAAAACUCUGUUAUUAGGGAAGAACAAAUGUGUAAGUAACUAUGCACGUCUUGACGGUACCUAAUCAGAAAGCCACGGCUAACUACGUG